CGAGGUGGUGCAUGGUUGUCGUCAGCUCGUGUCGUGAGAUGUUGGGUUAAGUCCCGCAACGAGCGCAACCCUCGACCUUAGUUGCCAGCAUUCAGUUGGGCACUCUAAGGUGACUGCCGGCUAAAAGUCGGAGGAAGGUGGGGAUGACGUCAAAUCAUCAUGCCCCUUAUGACCUGGGCUACACACGUGCUACAAUGGGCGGUACAAAGGGUCGCGAACCCGCGAGGGGGAGCCAAUCCCAAAAAGCCGCUCUCAGUUCGGAUUGCAGGCUGCAACUCGCCUGCAUGAAGCCGGAAUCGCUAGUAAUCGCGGAUCAGCAUGCCGCGGUGAAUACGUUCCCGGGCCUU
rnacentral:rRNA from 1 species